GACGUAGGGCGCGAGCGUUGUCCGGAUUUACUGGGCGUAAAGCGCACGCAGGUGGCUGAGUCAGUCGAUUGUGAAAGCCCUGGGCUUAGCCUGGGAAUUGCAGUCGAUACUACUCGGCUCGAGUAUGGGAGAGGGCAGUGGAAUUCCCGGUGUAGCGGUGAAAUGCGUAGAUAUCGGGAGGAACAUCAGUGGCGAAGGCGGCUGCCUGGCCCAAUACUGACACUCAGGUGCGACAGCGUGGGGAGCAAACAGG
rnacentral:rRNA from 1 species